AGUUAGAAGCAAGUGUAGAUGUCGACUUUUCAGUCCUUUAUUUCUGUUUCAACCUGCUUUGAAAGAACAUCUGAGAAUUCGGAGAACAUUUUUCGGUGCACUUUUUGAUUUCACCAAUUUUUAUUUAUUUAUUUAUUAUUUUUAUGGAAUUUAGAGGAUUUUAUCUAAAUUCAGCAAAAAACAUGCCUAUAUCUUCUUGUUAUGCUUCGAUCAUGUUUUUGUCAGUUUGUGUUGUGAAUUCUGUAUUAAACGACUUGGAACAUACAUGUUGAACACAAGGAUUUUGUUUAUACAAAAAAGAAGCGAUGAGCGCUCACAGCUUCUUGCUGCACGACUUGGUGGGUCGCCAUUCGCAGAUUUGCAUCGUGGGCCUGGCACAAGCUCAGAGACGUGUUCAUGGUUCGAGCUGCUGCUGCUGAUGAUAAUGAUGAUGAUGUGAGACUCUCCGUGGAGGAGAGUGAACCUGGAUGGAGCUCAGUGCGUCCAUUUCAGACCAACUACGGUACCUGCGAACUGUGAGACACUGAUUAAGAGGCAGAAGAUUCAGAAACAGUUUUCAAGCUUGUUUCCUCAUCGUUCUGGAAGUUUACAUUUUUUAUUGGAAGAAAUUAGUGUCAAAAUAUUUCAAUUAAAUCAGCCUUUGAAAAACACA